ACGAUAUGGCCCAGUGUUAUUGUUUAGUUAUGGGCUCAGAGGUGGAUAGACACUUAGCAGAUCAAAAAAAAUACAUAUGUUUCCUGCCCUGGAGAGUUUAUUCAGUUUUGCUCCUUCAUCUGAUUAACUAAUAUGACUCAGAGUUCUUCCGAGAAACACCAGCGCAGUAUCCUACACAGAACUUUCUCUGAUGCAAACUACAAAAUCCCUGUAAAUAUCAGCUGUCCUGGGAAAGACUGAAGCUGAAGGAAAAAGACAAUCCAGCCCAAAUCACAAAACAACCCAUUGACAUUAGCCAGCCAAGUUGAUGAGAAGAAUUUGGACCCAACAUAGCAACAAACUUAGCAACAGGGCUAACCAACCAUGAGAGCAACUGGCACAGGAACCCACAAGGGGAGCGGCAAUUCUCGAUUUAGUCCUGAGUGAAGCAC